ensembl:lncRNA
CUCGAUGAAUCUCGCAAAAGAUUCGAGUCAUUAGAUGAAUCAAAACACAGAAAAUAAGACACGUUGGAAAGUGACCUCGAAGAUUGCAAUCUCUUAAGUAAAAUAACGAAUAGCAUCCAUGGCCAUUUAUCUUGGAAAAUAAACCAAAUCACCUAUAAUAGAUUCAUGGAAUAUCAGUUUACAGCACCCAAAGAGUUUCAACGGGACAAUUAUGAGCGAAGGACCUUGCGUGCACCGCCAUCGAAGGGUAACAUGAUCUCUCCCUUAAUUUUAUUAUUAAUACUUUGCUCCGGAGAUGAAGUUCAUGUAUUGGCAUAUAGUGAGGAGGCAAAUGCACUUUUUGCAUCCAUAUUGUGUUUUGAUUAAGUGUACAGUCCUACUUUUAAUUUAUACUGAAAUUUGGAAACUUUUGUAACAAUCUGUGUUAUACUGUAAAUUACAUUUUUAUGACUGGAUUCUGUCAUUCUGGUAAUGUUUUCUGCAUUGCAUAAAUCAUAUAGGGCA